CUUGGGAUGGUGUUACGAAACAUCUCAUUUCCGGAACCGGAAAUUGCCCGACAUGCUGUCUGCUUUUGUAAACACUGGCCAAGGGAUUAAGAAAAAGAAUACUACCGACUCGUUGGUUUUAUUUACAAAAGGCAAGUGAAUAAGAAAGACGAUAUAGAGUAUGGCACAUUGUGAUAUUUGUAACCUCCAUUUAAACUCUGUUGAACAACUUGUACAACAUAAAACUGGAAAAACACAUCUUAAAAAUUUAGCUAUAAAGAAUGGUGAUAUCCCAACUCCAACAGUUUGUUCAAAACAAAGAGGAAAUCAUGUGAUUGGUAACCAACGACAACAGAUAAUGUUUGUAAAAGCUGGUUUAACAGAUGAAGAUCAAACACAGCAGAAAUCAAGUUCAUCACUGGAACCGUUGGGUUUUGAUAUCGACCCGGAACGCGAUGUGUAUCAGCCCGGAGAAGAUGUGUUGGGUCGUAAACGUAAAGCCCAGUCAUCUUUCUGUAAUCACUGUCAAAAAGAGUUGAACUCUGACCUCCAGGCCUCUCAACAUUAUGCUAGUGAUAAACAUAUGAAACGGUUAAAGAUGGGCACAGAGACCAAUACACAAGGAACAUCAGUGAAAAAAACAUCUCCCAAGGUACCACCCGUACCUUUGCAGACCGCAGCAGAUAUAACACCCAUCCCUUAUCCUCCAGCAUUUUUAUCAUCAACAUCUCCCCCUCCCCCUCCUCCACCAGUUGCCCCUACUAAACCUAAUACAGCAGUUCCUGGGUCACUAGAACCACCAAAACCUACUACAGCAGUUCCAGGGUCACAAGAAUCACCAAAAGCUACCCACGGUUUUAUGUUUUGUAGUUUUUGUAAUUUAAGUUUAAAUUCAGCAUCACAGAUAGACGCCCACCGAUCAGGUGCUCGACAUAAGAAGAACGUAGCCAAGGCCCAGAUUCAACAACUGUCAACCGUUACUUCAACAACUAAACAAUGAUUCUGAUCAACAACUAAACAAUGAUUCUAAUCAACAACUGUCAACUGUUACUUCAACAACUAAACAAUGAUUCUGAUCAAUAGCUGUCAACAACUAAACACUAAUUAUAAUCAACAACUAAACAAUAAUUAUAAUCAACUGUCAACAACUAAACAAUAAUUAUAAUCAACAACUGUCAACAACUUCUAAGUGUAGUGUUUAUGUACUGUUGACUAGUGAUGGGUAUUGCGACUAUCCAUAAUGUGUGACAUGGAUAAUUAAGAGUGACCAGUUACUUAGUGAUGCCGUUGUGUUUUCAUCCUUCAACAAAUCCACAAGGAAUUUAAGUGAUUAUAUAUGAUAAGUCACUGAUUAACAUCGAAUCUAGUCAUUUUGGUUGUGGUUCAUCAAUAGAACUGUUUAGCUGUGCUAGUGUGAUGGAGAUAGAGUUGUGGUUCAUCAGGAGAACUAGCCGUGCUAGUAAGAAGAUAGAAGGAAGGAAGGGCCAGUCCAAGGUACCAAAACCAUGGAUGUCACAUGCUAGGGAGGGGAGAGGGACAUAUGUCAUGUGCUAGUGAGGGGAGGAGGAGGAGGGGCAUAUGUCAUGUGCUAGAAAGGGGAGGAGGGGCAUAUGUCA